CGCGUAGGCGGAUUAUCAAGUCUCUUGUGAAAUCUAAUGGCUUAACCAUUAAACUGCUUGGGAAACUGAUAGUCUAGAGUGAGGGAGAGGCAGAUGGAAUUGGUGGUGUAGGGGUAAAAUCCGUAGAUAUCACCAAGAAUACCCAUUGCGAAGGCGAUCUGCUGGAACUCAACUGACGCUAAGGCGCGAAAGCGUGGGGAGCAAACAGGAUUAGAUACCCUGGUAGUCCACGCCCUAAACGAUGUACACUAGUUGUUGGGAUGCUAGUCAUCUCAGUAAUGCAGCUAACGCAUUAAGUGUACCGCCUGGGGAGUACGGUCGCAAGAUUAAAACUCAAAGGAAUAGACGGGGACCCGCACAAGCGGUGGAGCAUGUGGUUUAAUUCGAAGAUACGCGAAGAACCUUACCUGGGCUUGAUAUCCUAAGAACCUUUUAGAGAUAAGAGGGUGCUAGCUUGCUAGAACUUAGAGACAGGUGCUGCACGGCUGUCGUCAGCUCGUGUCGUGAGAUGUUGGGUUAAGUCCCGCAACGAGCGCAACCCACGUAUUUAGUUGCUAACGGUUCGGCCGAGCACUCUAAAUAGACUGCCUUCGUAAGGAGGAGGAAGGUGUGGACGACGUCAAGUCAUCAUGGCCCUUAUGCCCAGGGCGACACACGUGCUACAAUGGCAUAUACAAUGAGACGCAAUACCGCGAGGUGGAGCAAAUCUAUAAAAUAUGUCCCAGUUCGGAUUGUUCUCUGCAACUCGAGAGCAUGAAGCCGGAAUCGCUAGUAAUCGUAGAUCAGCCAUGCUACGGUGAAUACGUUCCCGGGUCUUG
rnacentral:rRNA from 1 species